AAUUCGUGAUUAUCAACUUUCGAUGGUAGGAUAGAGGCCUACCAUGGUGGUAACGGGUAACGGGGAAUUAGGGUUCGAUUCCGGAGAGGGAGCCUGAGAAACGGCUACCACAUCCAAGGAAGGCAGCAGGCGCGCAAAUUACCCAGUCCCGACACGGGGAGGUAGUGACAAUAAAUAACAACACAGGGCUCUUUUGGGUCUUGUUAUUGGAAUGAGUACGAUUUAAAUCUCCUAACGAGGAACAAUUGGAGGGCAAGUCUGGUGCCAGCAGCCGCGGUAAUUCCAGCUCCAAUAGCGUAUAUUAAAGUUGUUGCAGUUAAAAAGCUCGUAUUUGAAUUUCAGGCCUGGCUGGACGGUCCGCCCUUCGGGUGAGUACUUGUCUGUGGUCGGGUCCCUACCUUCUGGCGAACGUCAUGGCCUUAACCGGCCGUGGCGGGGAACCAGGACUUUUACUGUGAAAAAAAUUAGUAGUGUUCAAAGCAGGCAAUCGCUUGGAUACAU
rnacentral:rRNA from 1 species